rnacentral:rRNA from 1 species
CAGCCUUACCGAUGGAUCACUCGGUUCGUAGUUCGAUGAAGAACGCAGCUAACUGCGUUAAUUGAUAUAAUCUGCAGAAACCUUGAGUAUUAAUUUGUUGAAUGCACAUUGCGCCAUUGGAGUUACAUCCUUUGGCGUGUCUGGUUCAGGGGCGUU